rnacentral:rRNA from 1 species
UACAGAGGGUGCAAGCGUUAAUCGGAAUUACUGGGCGUAAAGCGUGCGUAGACGGUUAUUUAAGUCGGGUGUGAAAGCCCCGGGCUCAACCUGGGAAUUGCAUUCGAGACUGAAUAGCUAGGGUGCGGAAGAGGGAAGCGGAAUUUCCGGUGUAGCGGUGAAAUGCGUAGAUAUCGGAAGGAACACCAGUGGCGAAAGCGGCUCCUGGUCCAGCACCGACGUUCAGGCACGAAAGCGUGGGGAGCAAACAGG